UCUACCGCUGGCGCAACGGCGAGGUGCGGCAGUUCAAAGAGCUGCCCAAGCUGCACGGUCGUGACCUGCUGGCCGAC
rnacentral:tRNA from 1 species